GACGAACGCUGGCGGCGUGCUUAACACAUGCAAGUCGAACGAAGUGGCGAACGGGUGCGUAACGCGUAAUCAACCUGCCCUUCAGAGGGGGACAACAGUUGGAAAAGACUGCUAAUACCGCAUACUGAAGGAGGGGAUUGCGUCUGAUUAGAUAGGUGGAGUGGUAACGGCCCACCAGGGCGAUGAUAAGUAGCCGGUCUGAGAGGAUGAUCGGCCACAUUGGGACUGAGACACGGCCCAGACUCCUACGGGAGGCAGCAGUGGGGAAUCUUCCGCAAUGGACGAAAGUCUGACGGAGCAACGCCGCGUGAGUGAUGACGGCCUUCGGGUUGUAAAGCUCUGUUAAUCGGGACGCGGUACCGGAAUAGAAAGCCACGGCUAACUACGUGCCAGCAGCCGCGGUAAUAC
rnacentral:rRNA from 1 species